rnacentral:lncRNA from 1 species
UCUCUCUCUACAUCUAUUUUUUAUGCUUUAUUGUUUUUUUGUUGGUAGAGUUUGGUUAAAAUAUCUUCCUAUUUGUAAUCCAAAUGUUUGAAAAGUAAUGAAAGUUUGUGUUCAGAAAAAUAACAUACACCUUAUACAGGUAAACAUAUAUUAAUCUUGGAAUAACGAUUAGAUAAAAUAGAAAUAUGACACAGUACUACCUUAAAGAAUAGCCGAAGAAAAAUGAAUGAUUAGAAAUAUGCGCAUUGCCCAGCUUUGGGGAUUAAGGAAAAGUAUGUGUAAUUAUAUACACACGAUCUUUAGAUUCAAUCGUCCAUAAUCGCCACGAGCGAUCAGAGCCUUCUUUAUUCACAUGUAAUAUAUUUAUGUCAUAAGCAAUGAUUUUUAACCCGAUCUAAAUAUUGAACCAGAUUACUUCAGUUACUGUGUACUGGGCAAUAGCAAGAGUUUCAUAGUAGCAUUCUUAGCAAAAAAAAAAAAAAAAAAAAAAAAAAAAAAAAAACCAGAUUACUUCAGUUACUGUGUUAUUGGGUCGAUUGUGGUUGAACCAAAGAUCAAUAGAUUAAUAAAUUAUAAAUUAUAAUUAUAUAUUAGUACAAUAUUAUUUAUCAUUGAAAACAUAAAAUAAUAUCAGAAAUCUAUAUUUUAUUUACAAAAUAUAAAAAAUAUCUUAAUAAGUAUAUAUUUUAUAUAUUAAAUAAGUAUAAUAUAAUUAUCAAAACAAAUAAUUACUUUAUAUUAUGUGAAUAUAUAGAACAGUUUAAAAUUAAAAAAUACAAUAAUAUUUUAUCUAUAAUUUUUAUAUUACUAUAAUAAAAAUAAUAUAUACUAUUAUCUACGCUAAAAGGUUAAAACAUCUCAAAUUUUA